CUUCACCGAGCCCAGCCACAACGGCUUGUCCUCCGGCCGGUCCUGGCCGUACGUCGCCAGCAAUGCCUGCGCCUC
rnacentral:antisense_RNA from 1 species